UGUUCUGUGGCUUAGUUUGUUAAAGCGCCGGACUAUCUACACGGAGUCAUGGGUUCGAAUCCCACCAAAACAA
rnacentral:tRNA from 1 species